GAUGAAGAACGUAGCGAAAUGCGAUAAGUAAUGUGAAUUGCAGAAUUCAGUGAAUCAUCGAAUCUUUGAACGCACAUUGCGCCCAUUAGUAUUCUAGUGGGCAUGCCUGUUCGAGCGUCGUUAAGUCCACUUAAGCCCUGCUUAGUGUUGGGAGACUGCUCCAGCGGUGCUACCCUGUAGCUACCCUGCAGCUCCUCAAAGACAGCGGCGGAGUUGUGGUAUCCUCUGAGCUUAGUAACUUGUUCUAGCUUUCGAGUACACCACUUCCCCUGCCGUAAAACCCUUAAUUUUUAAUGGUUGACCUCGGAUCAGGUAGGAAUACCCGCUGAACUUAAGCAUAUCAAUAAGCGGAGGA
rnacentral:misc_RNA from 1 species